CCUACGGGAGGCAGCAGUGAGGAAUAUUGGUCAAUGGGCGAGAGCCUGAACCAGCCAAGUCGCGUGAGGGAAGACGGUCCUAUGGAUUGUAAACCUCUUUUGCCGGGGAGCAAAAAGCGGUACGUGUACCGCAUCGAGAGUACCCGGAGAAAAGCAUCGGCUAACCCCGUGCCAGCCGCCCGGGUUAUAAGGGGGAUGCGAACGUUAUCCGGGUUUUAUGGGUUUAAAGGGUGCGCAGGCGGCGAGUUAAGUCAGCGGUAAAAUUUCGGGGCUCAACCCCGACGAGCCGUUGAAACUGGCUUGCUAGAGUGGGCGAGAAGUAUGCGGAAGGCGUGGUGUAGCGGUGAAAUGCAUAGAUAUCACGCAGAACUCCGAUUGCGAAGGCAGCAUACCGGCGCCCAACUGACGCUGAGGCACGAAAGCGUGGGUAUCGAACAGGAUUAGAUACCCUUGUAGUC
rnacentral:rRNA from 1 species